rnacentral:tRNA from 1 species
GGCGCCGUAGCCAAGUGGCCUAAGGCAACGGAUUGCAAAUCCGUCAUUCCCCGGUUCGAAUCCGGGCGGCGCCU